rnacentral:rRNA from 1 species
CGCGCGAUACAGGGUGACAGCCCCGUACACAAAAGCGCAUGUGCUGUGAGCUCGAUGAGUAGGGCGGGACACGUGAUAUCCUGUCUGAAUAUGGGGGGACCAUCCUCCAAGGCUAAAUACUCCUGACUGACCGAUAGUGAACCAGUACCGUGAGGGAAAGGCGAAAAGAACCCCGGCGAGGGGAGUGAAAAAGAACCUGAAACCGUGUACGUACAAGCAGUGGGAGCACCCUUCGGGGUGUGACUGCGUACCUUUUGUAUAAUGGGUCAGCGACUUAUAUUCUGUAGCAAGGUUAACCGAAUAGGGGAGCCGGAGGGAAACCGAGUCUUAACCGGGCGUUAAGUUGCAGGGUAUAGACCCGAAACCCGGUGAUCUAGCCAUGGGCAGGUUGAAGGUUGGGUAACACUAACUGGAGGACCGAACCGACUAAUGUUGAAAAAUUAGCGGAUGACCUGUGGCUGGGGGUGAAAGGCCAAUCAAACCGGGAGAUAGCUGGUUCUCCCCGAAAGCUAUUUAGGUAGCGCCUCGUGAAUUCAUCUCCGGGGGUAGAGCACUGUUUCGGCUAGGGGGCCAUCCCGGCUUACCAACCCGAUGCAAACUGCGAAUACCGGAGAAUGUUAUCACGGGAGACACACGGCGGGUGCUAACGUCCGUCGUGAAGAGGGAAACAACCCAGACCGCCAGCUAAGGUCCCAAAGUCAUGGUUAAGUGGGAAACGAUGUGGGAAGGCCCAGACAGCCAGGAUGUUGGCUUAGAAGCAGCCAUCAUUUAAAGAAAGCGUAAUAGCUCACUGGUCGAGUCGGCCUGCGCGGAAGAUGUAACGGGGCUAAACCAU